rnacentral:rRNA from 1 species
UACGUAGGGCGCAAGCGUUUGUCCGGAAUUAUUGGGGCGUAAAGAGCUCGUAGGCGGCUUGUCACGUCGGGUGUGAAAGCCCGGGGCUUAACCCCCGGGUCUGCAUUCGAUACGGGCUAGCUAGAGUGUGGUAGGGGAGAUCGGAAUUCCUGGUGUAGCGGUGAAAUGCGCAGAUAUCAGGAAGAACACCGGUGGCGAAGGCGGAUCUCUGGGCCAUUACUGACGCUGAGGAGCGAAAGCGUGGGGAGCGAACAGG